UACGUAGGGGGCUAGCGUUGUCCGGAAUCAUUGGGCGUAAAGAGCGUGUAGGCGGCCCCUUAAGUCCUGCGUGAAAUCCUGCGGCUCAACCGCAGACGGUCGUGGGAAACUGGAGGGCUAGAGUGCGGGAGAGGAGAGUGGAAUUCCCGGUGUAGCGGUGAGAUGCGCAGAUAUCAGGAGGAACACCAAUUGCGAAGGCAGCUCGCUGGGACGUUACUGACGCUGAGACGCGAAAAGCGUGGGGAGCGAACAGG
rnacentral:rRNA from 1 species